AGCGAACGCUGGCGGCAGGCCUAACACAUGCAAGUCGAACGAACUCUUCGGAGUUAGUGGCGGACGGGUGAGUAACACGUGGGAACGUGCCUUUAGGUUCGGAAUAACUCAGGGAAACUUGUGCUAAUACCGAAUGUGCCCUUCGGGGGAAAGAUUUAUCGCCUUUAGAGCGGCCCGCGUCUGAUUAGCCAGUUGGUGGGGUAAUGGCCCACCAAGGCUACGAUCAGUAGCUGGUCUGAGAGGAUGACCAGCCACAUUGGGACUGAGACACGGCCCAAACUCCUACGGGAGGCAGCAGUGGGGAAUCUUGCGCAAUGGGCGAAAGCCUGACGCAGCCAUGCCGCGUGGAUGAUGAAGGUCUUAGGAUUGUAAAAUCCUUUCACCGGUGAAGAUAAUGACUGUAGCCGGAGAAGAAGCCCCGGCUAACUUCGUGCCAGCAGCCGCAGUAAUAC
rnacentral:rRNA from 1 species